GCUUCGUUGGUGCAGUGGUAGCAUGCCUCAUUUGGGUUGUCUUGUGCAAUAUUUUGAGGUGGUCCUCGGUUCAAACCCGGGACGAGGCC